rnacentral:tRNA from 1 species
UCCCUGGUGGUCCAGUGGUUAGGACUCUGCGCUUCCACUGCAGGGGGCACGGGUUCAAUCCCCGGUCAGGGAA